GAACACCUUCGAUCAUUCUAUUAAAAUUUAUUGACAACGGAGCUGAAAGCGGUAAAAUCAUUCAUUCAACAUGAAAUCGUUAAUAGUAAUUACACUUUGUCUGAGUCUCUUGCUGAUGAUAUUCUGCACAGUGGCAUCACCUGCGAAAGUAACCGAAGGCGAUAUACCAAAAACUUCAAUGCUCACAUAUAAAAAAGAUGGGCUUAAAAGUUCUUCAAAAUUAUUUAGAAAUUCAAUAAUGAGAAAAUCAAUUGCCGCUAAAUCAAAGCUGGGAGUAGCAACAGCCUCGAAAGGAACAAAGAAAAUCUCUAAACAAAUGUCGAAAAAUGUACAUCAAAUUAUAGACAGUCAAGAGAAUCUUAAGAGAUUGUUAAAAUCAGUUAUUUGAGAGAAGUUGACCUUUAAGGGUUCCAUGGUCAUUCUAUUAUGGAACAUUAACCGAAAUCAUUCAAUAAAUGACGGCAGAUACUGCAAUUCUUA